AAAAUUAAAACUCUAAAUAAAAUACGAAAGACACUCAAGAAUAACAAAAUUCCUAAUUAGUUAUAUUGCAAACUAAUACAUGUAUUAUAAAACAUAAAAAAAAUUAAGUUCUAAGAUCCUAGUGAAAUAAAAAUAAUAACUUACAUGCAUGAAAAACCUCAUAUGCCAAGUUCUUAUUUAAUACCUAUUGGAUUCAUCUAAUAAUAUAUAUAUAUACAUAUAUAUAUAUAUAUAUAUUAAAAAAUAUAUAUAAUUUAUGAAAUUAAAUUUGUAAUAUUUAUUAACAUAUUUUGACUAAGACUAAGGAAAUAUUCAAUCAUAAUAAUAAUCUAAAUCAAUAGCAAAUAACAAACAAUAUCUUGACAAGAUAUUUUCUUUAUAAAAAGAAUAACAUUUCACACCAAUGGUAAAGAUAUUAUAAGGUAAGGGAUUUAUUUUUAUAUUAUUUUGACUACAAUCAAAGAAAUUAAGCUCAAGGAUAUUUUGAUAAAAAAUUCCUUUAUGCAAAUUUAUGUUAUUAUAUAUACAACAACAUAAAUCAAAAUAAAACACUAAACAAAAAUUAAGAAAAGUUCAUACAAAAUGGGUUUCUCCAAAAACAUAUUGAUCGCAUUUGUUUUCACCAUUUUCUUCGUAGUAUCUAAUGUUCAUUGCUACCCAGACUUUGAAGUAAAACAAGACUACAAAAAAUGCUACCUUCCGUGUAAACAAAUAUCCGAAGGAUGUGAAAGGUUUUGUGCAGCUAAGAACAUUCAGUUGGUUGGCGAAUGUAUUUCUGAUUUAUGUUGUUGUAGGUCAAAAAGGCCAAAUUAACAUUAUUAAGGAUUAUACAUAUUGUACUAGUGUCAAGAGUGCUAAUAAAGAUCCAAAACAAUUAGCAAACUGAAGUUACUUUGAUAAAGAAAUCAUCUUUCCUUAAAAGAAAUAAAAAAAAUAUUAAUUCAAC